CCCUAUGUCAAUCCACUUCCACUAUUCUUUUUUUCUGACGAUCGCCCUUUUUUGGACGUACGUUCGUACGAUCGUUCAUUUUUAUGUAUCGUAAAAUUUUAAAAUAAUCGUUAAAGAUACAGCUCAUUUUCCAACUGAUUUUUUAAAGACUUUUCUCCAGCGUCAUGAGAGCGAAGUGGCGCAAGAAGCGUAUGCGAAGGCUAAAGCGUAAAAGGAGGAAGAUGCGUGCGAGGUCCAAAUAAAUAGGUACACAAUUGGGAGCUCGAGAAUAUUUCAUAAUAUCUAUGACUACUAAUUAUGUAUCCAAUAAAAACUAAAAAAAAAUCA